UACGAAGGGGGCUAGCGUUGCUCGGAAUUACUGGGCGUAAAGGGCGCGUAGGCGGAUACUUAAGUUAGAGGUGAAAGCCCAGGGCUCAACCCUGGAAUAGCCUUUAAUACUGGGUAUCUUGAGUUCGGGAGAGGUGAGUGGAACUCCGAGUGUAGAGGUGAAAUUCGUAGAUAUUCGGAAGAACACCAGUGGCGAAGGCGACUCACUGGCCCGAUACUGACGCUGAGGCGCGAAAGCGUGGGGAGCAAACGGGG
rnacentral:rRNA from 1 species